rnacentral:rRNA from 1 species
UGCCAGCAGCCGCGGUAAUACGGAGGGGGUUAGCGUUGUUCGGAAUUACUGGGCUUAAAGAGUUCGUAGGUGGUUGAAAAAGUUGGUGGUGAAAUCCCAGAGCUUAACUCUGGAACUGCCAUCAAAACUUUUCAGCUAGAGUAUGAUAGAGGAAAGCAGAAUUUCUAGUGUAGAGGUGAAAUUCGUAGAUAUUAGAAAGAAUACCAGUGGCGAAGGCGACUAACUGGGCCAUUUUUGACGCUGAGAUACGAAAGCGUGGGUAGCAAACAGGAUUAGAUA